rnacentral:rRNA from 1 species
AAGCGGAGGAAAAGAAACCAACAGGGAUUGCCUUAGUAACGGCGAGUGAAGCGGCAAAAGCUCAAAUUUGAAAUCUGGCACCUUCGGUGUCCGAGUUGUAAUUUGAAGAAGGUAACUUUGGAGUUGGCUCUUGUCUAUGUUCCUUGGAACAGGACGUCACAGAGGGUGAGAAUCCCGUGCGAUGAGAUGCCCAAUUCUAUGUAAAGUGCUUUCGAAGAGUCGAGUUGUUUGGGAAUGCAGCUCUAAGUGGGUGGUAAAUUCCAUCUAAAGCUAAAUAUUGGCGAGAGACCGAUAGCGAACAAGUACAGUGAUGGAAAGAUGAAAAGAACUUUGAAAAGAGAGUGAAAAAGUACGUGAAAUUGUUGAAAGGGAAGGGCUUGAGAUCAGACUUGGUAUUUUGCGAUCCUUUCCUUCUUGGUUGGGUUCCUCGCAGCUUACUGGGCCAGCAUCGGUUUGGACGGUAGGAUAAUGACUAAGGAAUGUGGCUCUACUUCGGUGGAGUGUUAUAGCCUUGGUUGAUACUGCCUGUCUAGACCGAGGACUGCGUCUUUGACUAGGAUGUUGGCAUAAUGAUCUUAAGCCACCCGUCUUGA